GCGUUUAACUUCUUAGAGGGACAAGUGGCGUUUAGCCACACGAGAAUGGAGCAAUACCAGGUCUGUGAUGCCCUUAGAUGUUCGGGGCCGCACGCGCGCUACACUGACCGGAUCAGCGUGUGCUCUCCUUGGCCGACAGGUCCGGGAAACCCGUUGAACCCCGGUCGUGCUAGGGAUAGGGAAUUGCAAUUAUUUCCCUUGAACGAGGAAUUCCCAGUAAGCGCGAGUCAUUAGCUCGCGUUGAUUACGUCCCUGCCCUUUGUACACACCGCCCGUCGCUACUACCGAUUGAAUGGUUUAGUGAGGUCCUCCGAUUGGACCCGGUCCGGGCGGCGACGUCCGAGCCGGCGUCCGAGAAGACGAUCUAACUUGAUCAUUUAGAGGAAGUAAAAGUCGUAACAAGGUUUCCGUAGGUGAACCUGCGGAAGGAUCAUUA
rnacentral:ncRNA from 1 species